AUACGUAGGGGGCGAGCGUUGUCCGGAAUUAUUGGGCGUAAAGGGCGCGCAGGCGGUCAUAUAAGUCGGUUGUGAAAGUCUAGGGCUUAACUCUAGGAUGCCGGCCGAAACUGUAUGGCUUGAGGGCAAGAGAGGGAGGCGGAAUUCCCGGUGUAGCGGUGAUAUGCGUAGAUAUCGGGAGGAACACCAGUGGCGAAGGCGGCCUCCUGGAUUGCACCUGACGCUGAGGCGCGAAAGCUGGGGGAGCGAACGGGAUUAGAUACCCCGGUAGUCCCAGCCGUAAACGAUGGAUGCUAGGUGUAGGGGGUAUCGACCCCCUCUGUGCCGCAGUUAACGCAUUAAGCAUCCCGCCUGGGGAGUACGGCCGCAAGGCUGAA
rnacentral:rRNA from 1 species